GCUGCGGCAGCCUUAACACAUGCAAGUCGAGCGGAUGAAGGUAGCUUGCUACCGGAUCAGCGGCGGACGGGUGAGUAAUGCUUAGGAAUCUGCCUAUUAGUGGGGGACAACGUUCCGAAAGGAGCGCUAAUACCGCAUACGUCUACGGGAGAAAGCAGGGGACCUUUGGGCCUUGCGCUAAUAGAUGAGCCUAAGUCGGAUUAGCUAGUUGGUAGGGUAAAGGCCUACCAAGGCGACGAUCUGUAGCGGGUCUGAGAGGAUGAUCCGCCACACUGGGACUGAGACACGGCCCAGACUCCUACGGGAGGCAGCAGUGGGGAAUAUUGGACAAUGGGGGGAACCCUGAUCCAGCCAUGCCGCGUGUGUGAAGAAGGCCUUUUGGUUGUAAAGCACUUUAAGCGAGGAGGAGGCUACCUAGAUUAAUACUUUAGGAUAGUGGACGUUACUCGCAGAAUAAGCACCGGCUAACUCUGUGCCAGCAGCCGCGGUAAUACAGAGGGUGCGAGCGUUAAUCGGAUUUACUGGGCGUAAAGCGUGCGUAGGCGGCCAAUUAAGUCAAAUGUGAAAUCCCCGAGCUUAACUUGGGAAUUGCAUUCGAUACUGGUUGGCUAGAGUAUGGGAGAGGAUGGUAGAAUUCCAGGUGUAGCGGUGAAAUGCGUAGAGAUCUGGAGGAAUACCGAUGGCGAAGGCAGCCAUCUGGCCUAAUACUGACGCUGAGGUACGAAAGCAUGGGGAGCAAACAGGAUUAGAUACCCUGGUAGUCCAUGCCGUAAACGAUGUCUACUAGCCGUUGGGGCCCUUGAGGCUUUAGUGGCGCAGCUAACGCGAUAAGUAGACCGCCUGGGGAGUACGGUCGCAAGACUAAAACUCAAAUGAAUUGACGGGGGCCCGCACAAGCGGUGGAGCAUGUGGUUUAAUUCGAUGCAACGCGAAGAACCUUACCUGGCCUUGACAUACAGAGAACUUUCCAGAGAUGGAUUGGUGCCUUCGGGAACUCUGAUACAGGUGCUG
rnacentral:rRNA from 1 species